UUGUGGGGAGUGAAAUGGGGGGAGGUGGAUGGAGGCGUGACUAUUAAAGGAAGAAUGGAUCAAAAACUAGGCUGGAAGGGCAGAUAGGCAGAGAGAACGUGUGUCAUCUAAUUUACGUGUUUGAGGAAGGGAGAGAGGGGGUCGAUCUAGGACUGAGAAAGUUAUUAGCGGAGCCAUCGCGGCCUUAGGCCGCACGCGGAGCUCCAUAGGUAUAAUGAAAUUGUAUAUAACUAUGCGACUUAAUUUUUUUGGACACCGCGCCCGCGCGGGUACCCUGUGGUACCGCCCGCCCGUCCGCACACUUUGCGAUAAUUUCGCAACACCUCUCCCCAGUAGAAAAAUUAGACAUUAAUACACUUUUGCACUAUCCGGGAUUGCUAAAUUGUUUAUAAAACCCAGACAGUUACGGUUAAAACCUACAAUAUUUUGACUUUUUGUGUUUGCACUCACGGGAAGCCUGCGUCUAUUUUUCGUGCGUCUUGCUCUUGCAAUUCGCGGCCAACACGGUGGGUUGGGAAAAUGUUUACAUUAUUUUUGUCUUGGAAAGAAACCAAGACAGAACGACACACUAAACACAUUUAUAAUAUAAAGAUGCACAAACGAUGGAUAGAAGGACAAACGAUGGAAUUGAAAGAAGAUAAGGUGAAUCUCCCUUACAAGAGAAACUCCAAGCAAGCUGCCAGCUGCCAGACCAAUGAUGCCAUGGCAGGAUGUAUAUUAUGUAUUUGUAUUAUGCAGCUCAGUGAAAAUUAACGCAACCUCAGUAACAAAACACUAGUUUUUCUAAUGUAUGUUUGAGCACACAAAUAGCAGGCGUAAUGCACCAUCAUGUUAUGAAACCCCUGAUAAUUUAGUAUGGGGAUUUAGUAUGUGUCCAAGGUUCUCUACAAGUCAGUAUUUUGUAUGGACCACCCAGACAGGUGUACAUUUCAACGACUAUCAGCCCAAAAACCACUGAAGAGAGGCCAAUAUUUGCAAUUUCUUCUAAAAACGCUUAUACAUUCACCUGGCAAAUACAAUACAUAGGGUAAUCUUCUGAUAUAUAUAGAAUGUAUAGUGUUUCAAUGUAUAGAGUUUUAAAUUCUAAGGAGAAUAAAAACAUUUUGCUGUA